UACGUAGGGAGCAAGCGUUAUCCGGAUUUACUGGGUGUAAAGGGCGCGUAGGCGGGACGACAAGUCAGGUGUGAAAUCUGGGGGCUCAACCCCCAAACUGCACUUGAAACUGUUGUUCUUGAGUGAUGGAGAGGCAAGUGGAAUUCCUAGUGUAGCGGUGAAAUGCGUAGAUAUUAGGAGGAACACCAGUGGCGAAGGCGACUUGCUGGACAUUAACUGACGCUGAGGCGCGAAAGCGUGGGGAGCAAACAGG
rnacentral:rRNA from 1 species